GCAGUCAAAAUCUUGUAACAUUACAAUUUAAAUGUUUGAGAGUUUGUUACCGGUUAGAAAAGAAAAGAAAAAAUUAUGACAUCUCACCGUGAUCGAAAACAAAAAGCGUCAGAUACGUUCGUUAAACAAUACGGCAGUUACGUUUUUAAAGGUUUGAGAGUUUGUUACCGGUUAGAAAAGAAAGAAAAAAUGCUGACUUAUCUUACCAUCUAAAACAAAAACAAAA